GUGCUCACUUCAGCAGCACAUAUACUAAAAUCGGAGCCAUGCAGAGAUUAGUGUGGCCCCUAUGCAGGGAUGACACAUAAAUUCAUGAACCAUGAGGGGGGGAAAGCAUUA
rnacentral:snRNA from 1 species